rnacentral:rRNA from 1 species
CACACUAUCAUUAACUGAAUCCAUAGGUUAAUGAGGCGAACCGGGGGAACUGAAACAUCUAAGUACCCCGAGGAAAAGAAAUCAACCGAGAUUCCCCCAGUAGCGGCGAGCGAACGGGGAGGAGCCCAGAGCCUGAAUCAGUGUGUGUGUUAGUGGAAGCGUCUGGAAAGGCGCGCGAUACAGGGUGACAGCCCCGUACACAAAAAUGCACAUACUGUGAGCUCGAUGAGUAGGGCGGGACACGUGGUAUCCUGUCUGA